UACGUAGGGUGCGAGCGUUGUCCGGAAUUAUUGGGCGUAAAGAGCUCGUAGGCGGUGUGUCGCGUCGGCCGUGAAAACCUGGGGCUUAACUCUGGGCGUGCGGUCGAUACGGGCAUCACUAGAGUUCGGCAGGGGAGACUGGAAUUCCUGGUGUAGCGGUGAAAUGCGCAGAUAUCAGGAGGAACACCGGUGGCGAAGGCGGGUCUCUGGGCCGA
rnacentral:rRNA from 1 species